CAUCAUUUCUUUUAGUUUUUACAUCAUGAAACUAAUUUCCCCUCCAAAAUCCAUUUCCAUUUGCCUGCAUACGAGAUCGUCAACCCGAGCAACAACAAAAAUACAUCUUACCCGCACAGGCAGCAACCCUUUGGGAACAAGGCCACGCUCGAAUACUCUUCAUUUUAGGCCCGCAUUUCCAGAAAGCCUUGCAUCUUUUAUCAAGAUAACGAGCGAAGAUUGACUAUAAGGUUACAGCAUACAUAAUUCACAAUGAAAAUAACAAGUGCACAGAUCUAUGUUUCCAUCAGAUAUCGUUGAAAUUCAA
rnacentral:misc_RNA from 1 species